AAAAACCCUUGCCCCCCAACCCAAUAGGGAUUGGCUGAACACUACGAGGGCCCCGAGAAGUGGGUGUUUGUGACGUCCGUCUGCCUAGCAACCCAGAAUGUUCUGGAAGGCCUGAAGAGAACGCAGCCAGCAGUGGGUCGUGCUUUGCGGGCAGUGGAUGCUCUGGCUGCUCAAGGGGCCUUGGCCCUUUGCGUAAGGGCUGCUGUGGGGAGAUGGCUGCUGUGAAGUUUACCUGCAAAAAAGAAUUAUGUUGGUGUUUGGCUCUGAUUCAGACAGCCUGAGUUUGACCUACAUCCUGUGUCUCCUGCUACUGCUGUCUGACGCUUGGCUUUGGAAACGUCAUCAGUUGUAGUAGGAGCUUAACUUCAGUGUAUCUGGUUGUGGGAGAACAGUUUAGCUUUCCUGAUGGUGUCACAAGACCGCUUGGGGAAGGUCCAUAGCUUGUUGGCAUUUGGGAAAUCUCCAGUACUGAAGUCAGACUUUGCCUGAAGUUCCUGUGACUUUGCUGGCUUGCACAAUCUGAACCAUAUGCAGUGUCAAAAGUUGCAUUGAAGUUCAGUUCAAAGCUUGUUUGUUAGAAUUACUGAUUGGCUUUGUCCUAAGCGUUUCACUGCUCUAAAACAGUGAGAUGAUAACUGUGCUGAUUUUAAAAAAUGGAUGCAUCUCUAUGUAAACAAGAGGUGGAAAACAAGUGAUUUCACCCUCACAGAGAUAUAAGUUUUGUAGUAGUCGACACAGAGCAAUUCUGCUGUGACUUAUUACUCCAUAAGCAUCUCAGGUGCUCAGGAUCUGAUUAUUGAAAAAACUGCUUGUUGCCAGAAUAACGUCAGUUUUAGUCUUUGAAUUUUAUGUGCACUGCCCAAGAAAAUACAACACGGAUUUUGAAAAUAUACUUGAUAUUCUCCUCAGAAGCUGCAUUAGAAUGAUCUUGAUUUCAAUCAUAUGUAACUAGACAUUUAUUUUACAAGUGUAAUAGCCAAUGUUUGGACUUACCUAGGAAUGCUAUGACUUGUUUUGUUGAGGGAUCUUUUUGAAGAAUAUAAUGCUUAAGAAAUUGUAGAGAUGGUGAAACCCACUGGGAUAAAUAUAAUAUAAAGCAUCUAAUUAGAGUGUAUUGCUAAAUUCAUAUAGUGAAUUGAUUUAGUGAAAUUCCUUGUGAGAUGUGCAAAAAUAAGAUUCUCCUGUGUAACAGAAGUUCUGAAACUUACAUUAAAAAAUGAGUGAUUGAAGGUUUGGUAUUAAAGCACUUUCAAGCAGAUAACUUUAAUGUAUAGAAUUCAUAAUGAUAAAAUUCUGCUCAAGUUUCAGUGAAGCUAAGAACCUGAUCUUUAGCAGCUUUCAUAAACAGAUUUCCCUCAAAUUUCUUUGCAAGUGUGAAGCCUUUAAAUAGAUCGGUGGAACACACUACAUAAAACGGUAAUCAAGUGGAUAGUUGGGGUGGACUUAUUCCUCUGCAUGUCGCUACACAACCAAGGUCAUUGGAACUUAUAUUUCAAGUACAAUUCAAGAUACACAGUUGAAUUCUUGAGGCCCUGAUGUACAGAGGUAUAGGUUUUAUUUAUAUCUGUACCUGAACAGUCAUAUCAAAGAAAUAGAAACAGCUUGAACCUUCAGGCUGCUGCAUCUCAGCCCCGUAAAUUCCUCCUGUUUCUAAACACUGGACAAGGGAGAGGUAAUGGGCAAAUGAACAAAAAGUACUGUAGCCCCAAAGCAGAAGUUGGGCAAGUUCUGGUUUUCGUAACAAAAUUGAAUUUAAUUUGAUUUUUGCACACUUAAUGCAAUAUGUUCUUAUAAUUCCGGAAUUCUAUAUGAAUCAAAUAACUGUGUAAAAAAUGAAUUUUAGUAUUUUUACUUUAAUUUUUCUUUUAAUGAAAGAUGGAUCUGGUUUCAGUAUUUGUCUAAAUGCAUUUCCAAUCCCUCUAGAAUCUUUGGAUAAAAAGCUGUUCUGUUUGUUGUCAGGAAUUAAUAGGCAUGUUAUAAGAUCUGUCAGCUAGCAUAACCAGGCAUCUUAAAGCAAUCUUUUUCACCAUUUAGAACAACAGUCCUUGAUAUUAAUCAACCAAGUAGGUGAUCAUAGAAAACUCAGUGAAAUGGACAUGGUCUGAUGGACAGAGUUUUGGAAUCAGAAGUAUGACAAGAGAAGAGGAUAACACAGGACGAUGAAAGUAGAUUGAAAUACUAGGAGAUGAAGAGGAUUAAACAUGAAAAUCAAGAGUGUCCAGAGUGAAGACGACAUUUUAUAUGCCCGAGAAGCCAGGACCAAACUGAGUGUUAUCAUUUGUUUGCUGAAACAGAGUAAGCUAGAGUUUGACCUGUGAGGAAUCUAUUUUGUUCUUGUUUUGUUUACUUGUUUGCUUGAUUUAAGUGGUUCUCAGUAAAGGAUUAUGUAUUCUGGGAACACUGUUCUUAUGAUGUGCUUCCGGACAAGGAUGGCUAGAGCAUGAGCACACAAAACCCUGCAGUUCUCAGAGCCAGCCAGCUGCUGAGUUCCUCAGAGGAGGAAAGGCUGGGGGAAGUCAUUUCCUUGGUAGGUCUAAUUAGCUGUGUGAUGAGAUUGAGUAUUUAGUUAAGUAUUUUAUUGUGCAUAGCAGUAUGAUAUCGUAGAAAGGUUUGAGGUUGUUGUUGUUUUGCUUGUUUUUACUAAAAGACUUUCAGUAUGAUCUCAUAGUAUUGGAUUAGUGUCUGAUGAGUCACCAGGAUUAGGAUAGAAUGACUCAGUAUAGAGACCAGCCUGUAACUAUGUAACAGCAUACAGAACUCCAGUUAUAGUUGCAUUAAGUAUGGCAGCUCCAAGGGUGUAUGUAACAGUUUUUAUAGCAUGCACUGAUGAUCUAGACUCAAAUUCUGAAAUCAGCAUUCCUCUGAAUAGAUUCUAGUGCUGGUGUGAAACUCAGGUAAAACCAGUGGGGCUGAUGCAAGGAUAGUUACACAGAAAUCCGGUCACGGGAUAAAGCUGAAACAGUAGUUGUGUCAGGCUUGUUCUUUUAUCCUAUCUCUUAUUCAUUUAAUCCUUAAACUUUGCUCUUUUUCAAUAUAUAUAAGCAAGAUAAAAUACUCAGCAGUUUUUAGAAUGUGUUUUUAACUUUUUUACAAAAAUGUUAAUAUUAGGAAAAAUAGAUGUGAGAAAUGUGUAUGACUUAAUAUAGUAUGGUAAUAUAAUUGAAUAACACUUAGGACUUAUUCUGAUUUGAUGAGCAAAUCCUUUGUUCAAAGAAAGAAGCAUUAUUGGAAACCCCAGAGGAUGCAUUUUGUUUUGCUCAUUGAAAAGAUGGCAUUGGGAUUUAGGAAUUACGAGCCUUCUGAUACUCUUUUUUUAUGUCCAAUAUGAUCAUUGUAGUCGCAUACUCUGUAAACUUUCUGGAACUCAUAAGUGACCAUUUGCUGAUACUUGCAUAGGAAUCCUACUUCAGUUAAGACUAUCUAGUGAUGAGAUGUUGCAGCUGCUUCUAUCUACAUGUUGCUUUCACUACAGCUGGGAACAACUGAAUUUCUCAGCAAACAAUGAUUAACAUUUUGAUCUUGACAAGCACUUUACUGUCUGAAUACCAAUGUCUGAGUGAUUGUUUUUGCCAAGCGAGGCAUAAACAGCUAUUGCAUAUGUAGCUUGUAGUUAGCUUCUGCUUACUAGAAACAUGUGAUCAAAUACUUGCAUGCUUGAUUUUUUUAAACUGUAUUAUAAGUAAUCUCUUCUGAUUUAUGGUUGUAGAAAAAGUGUAGUCUUACGUGUCUAAUAAUGCUAUGUCAGCUAACUCCACUAUGAAAUGCUAGAUGUCUGAAAGAGCAUUUAGCGUCAGGUGUUGUGAUCUAAUAUGUUAGUGAUUCAUGCCAGUGCUCCCAGAUACAUGCAAAUUGACUGUAUUCAAAUGUAACCAGACAGCAGUUAUAGUCUACAGAUUAGCAUAGCCUGAGAAAAAUCCAAUUAUCCUAUCCUUGGUUGUUUGCUUUAAUUAUAUUUCUGUUUCAGGGUACCUUUUUGGUUAACAUUUUAGAAUUAUUUAUGGAACUAAAAUCAGAGUUGUAAAUGUUAAUAUGAAUCACCAGGCAGAAGUAUGAGACCGUGCACUUUGUCCAUCUUGUCAGUAAAGGAAACAUCUUACGAAUGAAGCCCAAGUACCAGGUACUAGGGGAAUAGAAGUUAAGCUUUGCAAUGUGCUUAUGCCUUGCUACAAAAUAAGCUGGAAUCAAGACCAACUUACAUUCCUGGCCCCGUUUUAGCUGUUGGAGAAAAGCCUCCUAGCCUUCUUUCAGGGACAGAGCAACUGUAGAAAGCUGUCUUGUGGAGAGCAGAAAAGACCAGACGGAUGAAAGCUACAGGUGCUUCUGCUCGUGUCCUGAUGUUCCCUCUGUAUGUUCAGGAACGCUGCUGAAAUAAAUAUGCUUCAGGGCAUGACUACAGUGCGUAAUCAAAGCGUGUGUUAUAGUCACACGUUGCGAAAAGUGUUCACGAGAAAAUAUUGUGCAACUGAUCAUACGUGUUUAUGGAGUGUGGGGUAUACCUGUAUUUGCUCAGACAAUACUUGAACUGCAUUUGAUAGGUUGACUGAAGUUAAAGAUGGGCAACUCUGACUAUGUCUUGUCUAGUCAGGGUUUCCAAUGUAUGCAGGUGACUGAUGGCUGCUUCUCAGGAACAGAUUUGGUAGAAGGCUGGAGGAGUUUCAGUUGUGGCUCAGAUCUAGUUUAUUGCAAAAAGAGGUUGGGCUGGUAGCUUUUGGGCAGGGUUGCAGGUUGCCACAUACUGAUGAACCAAGCUGCCUCUCAAACCGAUUUCUGACUGACCUGAAGGGUUUGUAAUUGUCCAGAGGCAGUAGGAACAGUGUGUUUAAGCACAGGAAAUCAUACGAUUUCAUGAAGGUCUCUUUAUAUAUAGCUGUAAAGAAAAUGUAGCCUUUUGUUCAUACACUUCAUUGUUUAUGUGAUUUUUCACCUCAGAGUCAAUAAGAAAGAAAAAUAUUUGGAAGUCAUUUAGCAAGGAAUUAUAGUAGUAGUAGAAGUCAUAUGAAAUAAAUUAGUUUGCCAGUUUGAGAUAUGCCCUCUGAACAAUGUCAUACAGCUUUAUUGGACAAUCAGUGAAAGCUGAUUGUGAUUGAACCCCCAUCCUGUGAGACUGGGAUUGAGAGGGAACCAUGUCACAAUGAAGAAUUGGCUACACAUACCUGUGAGGAAUUCAAAGUACAGAGAGGAGUGUUCAUUAACAAAGAAGAGGUCUUAGACUUUAGAAUACUGUGAAAAGACUACACAGUGUGUUGAUACCUGGUGGGAGAACAUUCAGAGAUAGUGGCGGGAAUCACAGAGUGACUAUGAGAAUAUUUUGAAGUACAAAGAACAAAAGAUGGUUUAAAUAUUGCAUGAAGAAAUUGAAGACUGAUGUAAAGUGCAGAUAAUGCACAUUGAUAGUUAUCCAUAGGUUCAUAAAAUGCAAUACAUAUACAGUACAAAAAAUAAUAUUUGUGUGGCUUAAUAGAGAAGAUGAAGCAGAUCAGAAGUACAGCUCAAGGUUUUUUUAGGCAACCAUCAAGAUCAGCUGUACUCCUCUUUACAUUUGCAUGUGCUUGAGUUUUUUCCUGAAGCGGGAAGACAUUUAUGAGGUCUCAGUAUUAAUAUUACCCUUGGAUAAUUUGUAGAAAUGUACUGGAGCAUGGAUGCUUUUGAGUCCUUGUGAAAUGGUGCAUUUUUGUGGGAGUAGAAACAAAUGUUGUGAAGAAAUUUUUCACUGAAGUCACACUAAUGUAAAUGGGGGAGAAGCGCUUAACAAGAAAAUUCAAACUUAAUAGGGUGUUACAUUGCUGUCAAAGGCCCUCGUGACAUAAGUGGACAGGGAAUACAUAACUUCCUUGCAAAAAAAUAUUCAGAUGUUUUUCAUUCUUUUGCAACUAGAGUUCUAAAGGUAUAAAAUGCAUAUAGCUAGGAACUCUUUCCAUGUCUUGGGUGCUUGGACUGUGCAACACAGCAAUGGAGCUUGUGGGCAAACUGUGUUCUCUACUUUCACAUUCUUCCUCUUUGAAAAGAUGAUAUAUCCAUAAUUUGCUUUUAGAGUGCGAUUUUAGAUGUUACCUUACAGAUUAUUGGAUACACUUAAGAGCAAACCAGCCAACCACCACCACCACCAACAACAACAACAACCUCACCCCUCAGUAAAAAAACAACCAAUAACCCCCAGCACCAGUCCCUUCCACAGGCUGCCCAUGGGGGUUGUGGAGUCUACUUCUCUGCAGACAUUCAAAACCCACCUGGACAUGUUCCUGUGUGAUCUCACCUGGGCGUUCCUGCUCUGGCAGGGGGAUUGGACUAGAUGAUCUUCUGAGGUCCGUUCCAAUCCCAAACAUACUGUGAUACUGCGAUUUGUUUCACCCCCACAAAGUGGCAAGUUUCCUUGGGUGACAGGUUUUACUUGAGUGCUAGUAAACUGCUGCUGUAUGGUGAAUGACGGUCAGAUGCACCGAGUGAUAAUUGAUCAUAGGAUUGAAUGCUUGAGGAACUGUUGAGGCAGAAGUGGGAAUAUGUGAGAGAGUAAGUGCGCUCAGAAUCCAAAAUAUUUACCAAGAAUGUAAUUAUAGAAAGUUUGAGGUAGUAGUGUAGGGGAAGUCUGAAUGGUGAAAUGAGUAGAGAUAGCUAUUUUCUACACAAUGAAGUUCUUUGUGAAGAAGCGGGAUGCGAUGAAAUUCAGAAUGGACUCAGAACCCUCAGGAAUACCAAAGCACCAGGUGUUGGUAAUGUUCCAGUUGGGACACAAAGAAUUAUCAGUCUGAUUUUGUUAGUUUGGGACAAAAAAGACAAGGAAUGGUAAUGGUCCUGAUUAAUAGAAGAUAAGAUUUUUAUUGUCUAGAGAAGAGCUAUUUAUUUGCUAAUACAGAAAGCAAGUGGCUGGAACUAAUGUAGGCUGAUUGUUUGCCACCCUUGAUGGAGUCACCCAUGAGUCACUGCUGGCCAGGAAGCCGUCAGUCAGCUGGAAAGGUGUCAGCCUGCCUUGCAUCCUGGAGUGUGAUGAUUCUUGAUCUUUCUGAACUACUAUCUUCCAAGUAAUUUUAUGUUCCCUCUCAAGAUUGUAUGCCUCUUCAUGUAUGUUUUUUUCUCUUGAGCUAUAAACUACUACCAACUCAAAAGUUUUUGUUGUUUGUUUCUACUUACUAAAAAAAACGUUAUCUUCCAAGUCUUUAACUUACAUAGUCUCUUUGUGUCAAUUCAACAGUAGUCAUUUGCUUUGAAGCUGAGCCAGAGUCACAGCGGUGCUUUGCAGAAUUUGGCCGUAUAUUAGAGGCAGUUGAUCUGCAUUGGAGUGGAUCCUGGGUUACAGUCCACCUACCUGCAAAACAAACACAAUUGUACGUUUAUUAUUUUCCCCUUCUCUCUCCCCAAGGGAUUCUGAGAAUCAAGAGGAGCUUUGAGAUGUUUUGAUGAAACAUGAUGGUUGAAUUAAAAAAUAUGAAAGCAGGCUAAAUACAAGUAGUACUAAUUGCUCAAAUGUAUAAGAAAUUCUCUACAAGUGCAUCAAAGUAGCACAGAGCUAAUUUAAUAAUUUAUAGAGCCUAUAAAGGUUUGGUAAAUCAUGUAUCAAGUUAAGAUCCUACUUGCUAUUACAUUUUCAGAUAUUAUGAGUCAGCAGCUUUAUAACUGUAACCAUCUGAAUUUCAAACGUUAAAUGUAAUUUAACACUGCUCUAGAAUGAAUAAGAAAUGAUAGAAGGUCACCCUUGUGAAAAAAUUACUGUAACUUGAUAUAUGUAACAUAAUCUAUUAUGUACAUCAGGUUUGUGUUGUGCAAUUUUACUAUGUA